UACAGAGGUCCCAAGCGUUGUUCGGAUUUACUGGGCGUAAAGGGUGCGUAGGCGGUCGGAUAAGUCUGACGUGAAAUCUCCGGGCCUAACCCGGAAACUGCGUUGGAAACUAUCUGGCUAGAGGAAUGGAGGGGAGACUGGAAUACUUGGUGUAGCAGUGAAAUGCGUAGAUAUCAAGUGGAACACCAGUGGCGAAGGCGAGUCUCUGGACAUUUCCUGACGCUGAGGCACGAAAGCCAGGGGAGCAAACGGG
rnacentral:rRNA from 1 species